UAAAAUAGAAACGAUGAACAGGGAACAACCACAUGGUCAUGAUGAACUGUGACCCCUUCAGUAUGCUGCGGCACUGCCACCAUUGGCCUCAAGGGAUGCAAAAACUGGUGAAGUAGACAUAUUGUCUCACGAAGAGUAUUAACGAUAUGAAGUCGUCUCUGUUUACAUUUUUUGUUCUCUCACUUCCUUAUGUAGUUGCCAAUUUUCUCAAAAUAUGAACACACUGCUUCCAGCAAGAAUGUAGGAAAGAGAUGGCUUUUUUUGAGGAUUUCUUGGAUAACUGAGGCCAGGAUUAGGACACAGUUAUCCCUUUUAAGGACUUGUAUCUUCGACUGAGGCCAUAGCUGGUGCUCAGAUUUAUAGAAAUGAGAAUGUUUCCAUACGGAUUUUGUAAUCAGGAAAAUUUAUCAUAGUUGUACCAGUUGUCAGUUUA
rnacentral:lncRNA from 1 species